GAAACGGCGCAUGUGCGGCCCGUACCGUCGGUGACGGAAGAACUCUGUGGCCCUGCGGCGGCGAUGGCUCGGCGUGUCGUGAAAGGCCUGCUGGUGCUGGAGGCGGCGGGGCUGCUCGGCGCUCUCCUGCUCUACCGCGCCAUGGACCGCAGCCAAGACUUCAGAUACACAAUGCAGAAGAAGUUCCCAUCAAUUCUGGAAGUGUAUUACAAAUCCAAUGAGUGGUCUGGAAUUCACGGCAUAAGGGAGAAUGACCAAAUGGCAUGGUUAAGCAGCAAGAACUGAAGUAAGAAAGCCCUUUGUGCCUGAACUGUUUCUUCCUUUUUAUGAUGCUUUUCACAUCCCGGUCAUGAAGCCAUUUGUCGCGCUCUAUUUCCCAUUGGAUCUGUUUAAUAUCUGUAAGAGGAAAGGUGACAAGGAGUGAACAGCUAUCUCUGAUAAUGAUGUAAAAUACAGAUGAAACAUGUAACAGUUAAAACUUGGCUGCUGUAUUUAUGAAUGUCAAUAAAGUGCAAGCUGCCUUUUUGUUUUUGA